rnacentral:rRNA from 1 species
AUUGAACGCUAGCGGCAGGCCUAACACAUGCAAGUCGAACGAGUGGCGGACGGGUGAUUAAUGUCUGGGAAACUGCCUGAUGGAGGGGGAUACCUACUAGCAUCGGUAGCUAAUACCGCAUACUAUCAGAUGUGCCCCGAUGGGAUUAGCUAGUAGGGGGGGUAACGGCUCACCUAGACGACGAUCCCUAGCUGGUCUGAGAGGAUGACCAGCCACACUGGAACUGAGACACGGUCCAGACUCCUACGGGAGGAAGCAGUGGGGAAUAUUGGACAAUGGGGGCAAGCCUGAUGCAGCCAUGCCGCGUGUAUGAAGAAGGCCUUCGGGUUGUAAAGUACUUUCAGCGGGGAGGCGUUACCCGCAGAAGAAGCACCGGCUAACUCCGUGCCAGCCGCCGCGGUAAUAC